CGUUUUAAACACAGCAUGUGGUGCUGUGAUUUUUAAAACUGCAAAGGAUCCACCCCCUUCUAAAACCCCCAAAUUCAGAAACUCUCAGCUCGCAGCCGUCUCAGCCGUGUCUCCUCCACGCCGCCGCCGUCUGUCUUCAAACUGUGAAAAAUGUUCAAAGUAUUCCGUUGGAAAUCGGUUUAUAGGCAACUCUCUGCAGUUACUGUUUCUCCCCAAUUCAAUUUGUGGAGAGGAAUGCAUAGU